rnacentral:tRNA from 1 species
GAGGUUGUAGCUCAGUGGUAGAGCACUUGCUUUGCAUGCACGAAGCCCUGGGUUCGAUCCUCAGCACCACA